UGUGGGCGUAGCUCAGGUGGUAGAGUGCUUGCCUUGAAAGCAUGAGGUCCUGGGUUCAAUCCCCAGCACCACAU